rnacentral:rRNA from 1 species
GACGAACGCUGGCGGCGUGCUUAACACAUGCAAGUCGAACGGUAAGGCCCUUCGGGGUACACGAGUGGCGAACGGGUGAGUAACACGUGGGUGAUCUGCCCUGCACUUCGGGAUAAGCCUGGGAAACUGGGUCUAAUACCGGAUAGGACUCCGGACUGCAUGGUCUGGGGUGGAAAGCUUUUGCGGUGUGGGAUGGGCCCGCGGCCUAUCAGCUGGUUGGUGGGGUGAUGGCCUACCAAGGCGACGACGGGUAGCCGGCCUGAGAGGGUGACCGGCCACACUGGGACUGAGAUACGGCCCAGACUCCUACGGGAGGCAGCAGUGGGGAAUAUUGCACAAUGGGCGCAAGCCUGAUGCAGCGACGCCGCGUGAGGGAUGACGGCCUUCGGGUUGUAAACAUCUUUCAGCAUCGACGAAGCGAAAGUGACGGUAGGUGCAGAAGAAGGACCGGCCAACUACGUGCCAGCAGCCGCCGUAA